UACGAAGGGGGCUAGCGUUGUUCGGAGUUACUGGGCGUAAAGGGCGCGUAGGCGGCCUUCCAAGUCGGGUGUGAAAGCCCACGGCUCAACCGUGGAAUUGCACUCGAGACUGAAGGGCUCGAGGACGGGAGAGGAUGGUGGAAUUCCCAGUGUAGAGGUGAAAUUCGUAGAUAUUCGCAAGAACACCAGUGGCGAAGGCGGCUCACUGGCCCGGUACUGACGCUGAGGUGCGAAAGCGUGGGGAGCAAACAGG
rnacentral:rRNA from 1 species